GGUCCUUGCUCCUCACCCCAAGUGACAUCAGACUCCAGCAAUGGGCGGAAACACAUACUGAAAAUGAAACACGUAGCCUCACAGUGAUGUGCCCCUCACCAGCUGCGCGGCCCCACCUUAAAUGAGGACAGGGAUUAAGGGAGCACACUGGACAGCGGAGACGAGGGGAGAGGUAGAUGGGAAUUCAUUGAAGAAUUGGGCAUAAUGUGCUCUGGGCAGUCCCCAAACCAGCUGUUUUCCAUUCGGUGGGAGUACAAGCAGUGAAAUGUAGCAGGGGUGGGAUAGACAGACAAACAAAGAAGUGUAGAAGAAGAGGGGCAAGACUGUAAAACAUGGUGUGAGACACAAUGUGUGAAGGUCACAAAGAUGGCCAUUCAAGUGGCCUGGUGUGUCCUUUUCUUUCUCUCCAUGUGUUCUUCUGUCUAAGAGAAACUAAAUAGAACAGUGGGCUCCAAAAGACACUCCCUUUAAAGGAAUAAGACUUGUUUUUAGAUGUGUUAGUGUUUGCUUUUGUUGAUAACCUACAUCUUUUUACCGUUAUUAAAUGCUCCACAUUGUGUA